CCCCGGUAAACGGCGGCCGUAACUAUAACGGUCCUAAGGUAGCGAAAUUCCUUGUCGGGUAAGUUCCGACCUGCACGAAUGGCGUAAUGAUGGCCAGGCUGUCUCCACCCGAGACUCAGUGAAAUUGAACUCGCUGUGAAGAUGCAGUGUACCCGCGGCAAGACGGAAAGACCCCGUGAACCUUUACUAUAGCUUGACACUGAACAUUGAGCCUUGAUGUGUAGGAUAGGUGGGAGGCUUUGAAGUGUGGACGCCAGUCUGCAUGGAGCCGACCUUGAAAUACCACCCUUUAAUGUUUGAUGUUCUAACGUGGACCCGUAAUCCGGGUUGCGGACAGUGUCUGGUGGGUAGUUUGACUGGGGCGGUCUCCUCCUAAAGAGUAACGGAGGAGCACGAAGGUUGGCUAAUCCUGGUCGGACAUCAGGAGGUUAGUGCAAUGGCAUAAGCCAGCUUGACUGCGAGCGUGACGGCGCGAGCAGGUGCGAAAGCAGGUCAUAGUGAUCCGGUGGUUCUGAAUGGAAGGGCCAUCGCUCAACGGAUAAAAGGUACUCCGGGGAUAACAGGCUGAUACCGCCCAAGAGUUCAUAUCGACGGCGGUGUUUGGCACCUCGAUGUCGGCUCAUCACAUCCUGGGGCUGAAGUAGGUCCCAAGGGUAUGGCUGUUCGCCAUUUAAAGUGGUACGCGAGCUGGGUUUAGAACGUCGUGAGACAGUUCGGUCCCUAUCUGCCGUGGGCGCUGGAGAACUGAGGGGGGCUGCUCCUAGUACGAGAGGACCGGAGUGGACGCAUCACUGGUGUUCGGGUUGUCAUGCCAAUGGCACUGCCCGGUAGCUAAAUGCGGAAGAGAUAAGUGCUGAAAGCAUCUAAGCACGAAACUUGCCCCGAG
rnacentral:rRNA from 8 species